CCUUAUUUCCUAUCACAGGUGGUACCAGUUAAAGUACAAAGUAAUCCUCCCUUCUGACCACUGUUGAAUUGUCCCUGGGGUGGGCACCUGACUCAAGCUGGACCGAUCAUACUUCUUCACCAGGAUUUUAUAUUUGGGCUGAAAUCAUCUUUCUCUGUCUUUUGUUGGCUGAGACUCAACGUGUUGGCAGUCAAGUCCUGUAUGAAGAAUGAAGAGUGGAAAAAAUAGCAGUGAGAGAAGAAUGAAGGGAGAGGGAAAGGGAGGAAGGAGUGAAUGAAUGAAGCUCAGAGGCCCUGAGUUCUUUACAGGCAGUGAUUACCAGCCUUUCUCCUGUCAUGACCCGCAUAGAAAAUGGCCAUGUUAGAACUACCCAUCAAGAGGAAGAGGCAGGGCUGUGCUUAUGGCUGGUGAGUACAGCAGUAAUUGGAACACAGGUUUUAGUUCUGGGAGGGGACACGGUAACAUACCCAGAUGGGGAAGCUCAGUGGCAAUACCUGGUCCCAGCUUGGGUCCUGUGAGAUGCCCUGGUGACUCUUUGCUCCCCAGGUGCUUCUCCUGUGUGUUCCAGUAACACCCUGGGCCCUGGACCGUAAAUGAUGUAAUUAUUUGUCUGUAUGCCCUGUUGUACAGGAGCCCCGGGAGGAUAGGAGGCACAUCUGUCUUUUCAUCUUUCUAGCCCCAGUGCCUCGAGUGGGAUAAACCUCUCCUGAAUGCAGGAAUUAUGUUCUGCCCACAUGAAAAGAUUAACAAGAAAAUUGUAAUUGAAACAAGAUCUUAUGUGUAAAUGUUCUUUCUUUCUCAAGGAGACAACUUUGAAUGGAAGCCUUGGAAAAGAAAGUACAUGGGAACUAUGUGUUUUUGGCAUUAUCUACCUAGUAGUUUUGUCAGACCAUCAAAUCUUUCAGUUGGUCGUAUUUUGACUUGAGUUAGGGUGCUCAGUGUUCAUAGUAGAAAAGAAGACUCAGCCCAUUUUCAGAAUAACAAAUCUUCUGUGGGAAAAAAAAAAAAUCAGUAAAAAUCCAGAGCCUAAGCACCAUCCUAACAGUAUGGGCAUUUCCUAGGUUUUUUCGUGUUCUGUAUCCCUACUUUUGGGUACUGGGGCCCUCCUCCCAGAGUGAGGCUCCUCUCCAGGCUGGCUUCUCAUUCUCCCUUUCUCUGGAGGCCACUUUUGACCUCCAGUCUGCCCUGUCUCCUGGCUCACGGGUCUCCAGGAUCACGGCUUCACUUCACUGUGGCCUAAGAGACCCCAGCUAUGAGGAUUAAGUGACGCUGCACUCAGUUCCCACUCAUGCAGGUCGGUCUAGUUCUAUGGCACUGAAAAUCUCUGCCAGGGUCCUUCCUGAUCCGUUAUUUCUCAGGCCCUGCCGCUGUGGCUCAUUGUUAUUUUGUUGAUACCCCAUUCUGCUUUGAAUUCUGGUUGGAGUGGAUUUUUUUUUUUUUAAUUCUUGACUUUUGGAAAAACAGGAUUCUUUCUUUGUUGGAACCUUGGCAUACCUUUAUUUAAUAUUUACUUUAAAAACUUGUCUCUCCAAUAGCUUGGUCUACUUUCUUAGACUUAGUCCUUUUUGCGUCCCUUUACUUUAG
rnacentral:lncRNA from 1 species